rnacentral:lncRNA from 1 species
UUUCUUUUUCUUUUUCUUUUUUUCUUUUUUUUUCUUUUUCCUUCCUCUUCCUCUCUUCUUUGUAGAAUAGGGGACUCACGUCCUCCUUCUCAGAUAAAAGAGGGCUCACGGCUGGCAUGGCUGUAGCUAGUGGUGGCACGGUCCAUGAUGAUGCAGUUGGAGUUCCUUUUUCAAUGAUCAAUAGCAACUAUCGGAGCCAAAAAAAAAGAAAAAAUCGAAGGCUCAGCUUUUAACAAAGAAAUCUAGUGAU